GACGAACGCUGGCGGCGUGCUUAACACAUGCAAGUCGAACGGAAAGGCUCCAGCUUGCUGGGGUACUCGAGUGGCGAACGGGUGAGUAACACGUGGGUAAUCUGCCCUGCACUCUGGGAUAAGCCUGGGAAACUGGGUCUAAUACUGGAUAUGACCUUUCUCCUUAUGGGGUUUGGUGGAAAGUUUUUCGGUGUAGGAUGAGCCCGCGGCCUAUCAGCUUGUUGGUGGGGUGAUGGCCUACCAAGGCGACGACGGGUAGCCGGCCUGAGAGGGUGAUCGGCCACAUUGGGACUGAGAUACGGCCCAGACUCCUACGGGAGGCAGCAGUGGGGAAUAUUGCACAAUGGGCGGAAGCCUGAUGCAGCGACGCCGCGUGAGGGAUGACGGCCUUCGGGUUGUAAACCUCUUUCAGCAGGGACGAAGCGUAAGUGACGGUACCUGCAGAAGAAGCACCGGCUAACUAUGU
rnacentral:rRNA from 1 species